CGUUCAUUCGCGGCUGGCAGCCGCGGUAUUGCGUGUGGGGGUAGCGUGCUCCGGACUCUUUGGGCGUAUCGCGCGUGUAGGCGCCCCGUUACGUCCCCUGUGAAAUUCGAUGGCUCAACCCUCGGAUGCCGGUGGUUACUGCUGGGCUUGAGUACGGAAGAGGCGAGUGGAAUUCCUGGUGUAGCGGUGAAAUGCGUAGAUAUCUGGAGGAACACCGAUUGCGAAGGCAGCUCGCUGGGACGUGACUGACGCUGAGACGCGAAAGCGUGGGGAGCAAACAGGAUUAGAUACCCGAGUAGUC
rnacentral:rRNA from 1 species